rnacentral:rRNA from 1 species
UGGGGAAUAUUGCACAAUGGGCGCAAGCCUGAUGCAGCCAUGCCGCGUGUAUGAAGAAGGCCUUCGGGUUGUAAAGUACUUUCAGCGGGGAGGAAGGUGUUGUGGUUAAUAACCACAGCAAUUGACGUUACCAGCAGAAGAAGCACCGGCUAACUCCGUGCCAGCAGCCGCGGUAAUACGGAGGGUGCAAGCGUUAAUCGGAAUUACUGGGCGUAAAGCGCACGCAGGCGGUCUGUCAAGUCGGAUGUGAAAUCCCCGGGCUCAACCUGGGAACUGCAUCCGAAACUGGCAGGCUUGAGUCUUGUAGAGGGGGGUAGAAUUCCAGGUGUAGCGGUGAAAUGCGUAGAGAUCUGGAGGAAUACCGGUGGCGAAGGCGGCCCCCUGGACAAAGACUGACGCUCAGGUGCGAAAGCGUGGGGAGCAAACA